GAUGAACGCUGGCGGCGUGCCUAAUACAUGCAAGUCGAGCGAACAGAUGAGGAGCUUGCUCCUCUGACGUUAGCGGCGGACGGGUGAGUAACACGUGGAUAACCUACCUAUAAGACUGGGAUAACUUCGGGAAACCGGAGCUAAUACCAGAUAAUAUAUUGAACCGCAUGGUUCAAUAGUGAAAGACGGUUUUGCUGUCACUUAUAGAUGGAUCCGCGCCGCAUUAGCUAGUUGGUAAGGUAACGGCUUACCAAGGCAACGAUGCGUAGCCGACCUGAGAGGGUGAUCGGCCACACUGGAACUGAGACACGGUCCAGACUCCUACGGGAGGCAGCAGUAGGGAAUCUUCCGCAAUGGGCGAAAGCCUGACGGAGCAACGCCGCGUGAGUGAUGAAGGUCUUCGGAUCGUAAAACUCUGUUAUCAGGGAAGAACAAAUGUGUAAGUAACUAUGCACGUCUUGACGGUACCUAAUCAGAAAGCCACGGCUAACUACGUG
rnacentral:rRNA from 1 species